GAUGAAGAACGUAGCGAAAUGCGAUAAGUAGUGUGAAUUGCAGAAUUCAGUGAAUCAUCGAAUCUUUGAACGCACAUUGCGCCCCUCGGUAUUCCGUGGGGCAUGCCUGUUCGAGGGUCAUUUAACCCCUCAAGCCUAGCUUGGUAUUGGGUGCUUGUCCCGCCUCUCGCGCGGCGACUCACCUCAAAGUCAUUGGCAGCCCGCAUCUCGCCGGCCGUGAGCGCAGCACAGACGCGCUCUUGGCAACGACGGAUCGGCUCUCCAAAAGCUUAUUUCAACCACUGACCUCGGAUCAGGUAGGGAUACCCGCUGAACUUAAGCAUAUCAAUAAGCGGAGGA
rnacentral:misc_RNA from 1 species